AAGUCCCCAGUCGCAGUCAGCUUCAACAUAUUUACAACCAGUACAAGGGUUCUCAAUCCUUCACGCAGCAGAAUGUGAGGGGACCUGCACAAGGUGUAUCUCAUUCUGAAGGUCACAUCGCAGCUAAUCAGGGAAAUGUUAAUCCACAACGUCAAGCACCUGUGGAAAGAGUCGGAGAUGUUGUAGUUAAUAAUUCACCGCCUAAUGCUGUGCCCCAGAAAGUACAGCAAGUCAUGGAACAUAUUGGUGAUGUGCCCGUGGGCAAAGCCCGAGCCAAGGCGAGCCUAUUAAGGCACCGCCACCAAAUAGUAAACUAAGAAAUGGUCUACAAGACAUAAUUUAUACAUCAUAUCCGACAUCUGCUGCGUGGUCCUUCCAUGGGAAUAACCACACUCCCUAUUAUCCUGGACGCCGUUUUCGGCAUAGAACCUAAGUAUUGAUAUAUUUUGUAAUUAUAUUGUGCAUAUCGAGAAAUGUUUGUGGACGUCAUAAUUAUUUAUAAAAAUGUAUUUUAGAAAAAUGUGUACUGCGAAUAAAGUAAAACGUAAACCUGA